UACGGAGGGUGCAAACGUUGCUCGGAAUCAUUGGGCGUAAAGCGCACGUAGGCGGCCUGUUAAGUCGGGUGUGAAAUCCCUCGGCUCAACCGAGGAAUGGCGCCCGAUACUGCAUGGCUUGAGGGAGACAGGGGUAAGCGGAACUGAUGGUGGAGCGGUGAAAUGCGUUGAUAUCAUCAGGAACACCGGUGGCGAAAGCGGCUUACUGGGUCUCAUCUGACGCUGAGGAACGAAAGCUAGGGGAGCGAACGGG
rnacentral:rRNA from 1 species